rfam:Klebsiella pneumoniae IS39, WGS project CBWT01000000 data, contig: c146
CGCCCAGCAGCGCGCCGCAAAGUGACGCAAUAUCGCUGGCAAACAGCACCUGAAAAAUAGACGCCAUUACAAACAGCCCCGCCAGCGGCGCCAUAUACACCAGCAUCGCUGAGCCCAGCAGGCUGCUUUCAGCGAUCCCCAGCUCCACUUUUUGCCCCGCGGCCAACGGCUGCUCGCAGGGCACGCUAAUGGUAUGGCUGGUCUGCGGCCCCAGCUUGUUUAGCACCCGGCUACCACAGCCGCACGGGAGGCGCAGCUGCUGCAGGAGGCUUUAACGUCGCAGUGCACCUGCGCCACGCCGUUAUGCCAGGAAACCACGGUAGCCCACUCUUUAAUCAUUGUACUGCCUUGAAUUUAAUACUGUCAGAGAUACGC